GGUGCCCGUACCGCAAACCGACACAGGUAGGUAGGAAGAGGAUUCUAAGGCCAACGGGAGAAGGGUUGUUAAGGAACUCGGCAAGUUGACCCCGUAACUUCGGGAGAAGGGGUGCUCACGAGAGUGAGCCGCAGAGAAUAGGCCCAAGCAACUGUUUAGCAAAAACACAGGUCUGUGCUAAAUCGAAAGAUGACGUAUACGGGCUGACACCUGCCCGGUGCUGGAAGGUUAAGGGGAGCUGUGCAAGCAGCGAACUGAAGCCCCAGUAAACGGCGGCCGUAACUAUAACGGUCCUAAGGUAGCGAAAUUCCUUGUCAGGUAAGUUCUGACCCGCACGAAUGGUGUAAUGAUUUGGGCACUGUCUCAACAGCCCGCCCGGCGAAAUUGUAGUACCGGUGAAGAUGCCGGUUACCCGCGACAAGACGGAAAGACCCCAUGGAGCUUUACUGUAGCCUAAUAUUGGGUCUUGGUACUGCAUGUACAGGAUAGGUGGGAGACUAGGAAACUCGGGCGUCAGCUCGGGCGGAGUCAUCCUUGGGAUACCACCCUUGCAAUACUAGGAUUCUAACCUGCGGCCCUGAAUCGGGUCGGGGGACAUUGUUAGGUGGGCAGUUUGACUGGGGCGGUCGCCUCCUAAAGUGUAGCGGAGGCGUUCAAAGGUUGGCUCAGUACGGACGGAAACCGUGCUAAUGAGUGCAAACGCAUAAGCCAGCCUAACUGCGAGAC
rnacentral:rRNA from 1 species